ACAGAUCACCAAAAUUGAUGACAUAAACGUAUUUGCCACAUUACCCCACUACAGCUUAUUAUUCUCUAACAUCCGUUUAACCCGUUGAAAGCAGAUUCAAAACAGCAAAUUCAAAUUUAAGAUGUGAAUGGGUGCGUAUUGAAAAUUUUGUAUCUGAAAUCCUUUUCAAAAUUUGUUUUACGUAUCUUGGGUCAUUUCCCCAAUGCCAAACAAAAUGCUUUUUCUGCUGAACCAAAGUCAUUGUCUCCAACUUCUCACUCGGCACUGCCCCACUCAGCACUCUCCUUCACAUUUCCCCCUUGUAAUCCCUUGCUUCCUGAUCUGGAUAUUCAAAUACUUUGAUGAGCAAUCCAAACUUUAAAAUCUAAGAGGUAGUUGUUCCUCUAACAAAGGAUAAGAAUGCUUGCUCCAAAAUUCAAGCAAUCACAUAUCCUUUCAAGCAAUGAAUAGGACAAACUUGGAGCAGAGGGAGCCUCGGCUUGCCAAGGAUGAAGAUGAGGAUCAACAAGUUGAAUGUGAAGGAGCUGUCAUUAUUGGCUUGGAUGACAAGAUGAGAUGGAUAAGUGAUGAAGUUCCAAGAUUGAAGUCUGGCUGGUCUCCUUAAACAAUAGGAUUCAUUAGUUAGAGAUAGAAAUUAUUAAUAACUUAUUUCCCAGAUUUUUGGAAGUGUAGAGGAUGGGAUUAGGUUGUUUGCUAGUUAGUUGUUAUCAAGUUUAUGUUAAUAGUUGGUGCUUAUCAUAAGUUGUAUUGCACAUAUGUUGUGCACUGGAUGCUAUUUAAAAGGAAACAAAUUAAUAAAGAUGGAAGCAGAAAACUAACACUCAAACUCAUGAGUGACUGAGGUCACAUAUCUUGAAGUUUUAGAUUUGAUAUAUGUUAACUUCUUUUUUAGUUUGAAACAAGUAAUGUGGUAAAAAGAAUUGAGUAUUAUGUUGUAUCGUCCAAUUUUGACACUUCAACAUCUUUGCUUAUUUAUAGAAAACCAUUACAAGUACGUAUAGUACAAACCAAGAGAAUAUAAUAGAAUGUAUUUAUUCUUUUCAUGAUAUUUCAAUUUCUCUAAUGAUGUUUGUGACUUAUCUUUUGAAAUGUUAUCAAGCCAAUUACGGUAGUUUUGAUUUUGUUAAAAAGAUGAUAAGAGACUACAUACAUUUUUUUUCCCAUUAAAAUUAGUAGAAAACACAAUUGAAUAAUCAAUUUAGUCACAGAUGUAAAUAUCAUUCUCGACUAUUGAUCAUGUCAUAGAAGAUAUAAGAGUAUAAUUUGAUUACAGGGUUCUAUUGACAUAUAGACUUAUAUUACAAGACUUAUAAUUUAAUUACAAGGACAAAAUAACAAAAGUGUGCUUCAAGAUCAAUUGCUUUGUCGAUCUGAAAUGGAUAAAUGCCACCCACUUUUGUCCAAAGGCUCUACCUAUAACCAUGCCGAGAAUAUUAAGCAGUUCUACAACCUUUCUUUAGUACAAGAUUAAACUCAACACUGUAUCAUCUUUUACAUCUUGUAAUAGAUGACCAAAGUUGUAAGUAUUGAAUUUGGUUGAGUAGAAUUGAAUACACUAAUAGCUAAGCACAUUCAAUAUUAAAAUCCUGUAAGUCAAGUUCUUGACUAACACAAGAGCACCUUCCAAGCCCUUGAAUAGCUUCAUUAGUUGGCUUAUUCUAUCGCUCCAAAAGCAAAGGAACGGAAAUAAGCAAAGCACUAAAUAACAAACUAUAGCAAGCCUAAUAUGCAAAAUAAUCAAUCCUUAAAAUUUGGUACCAAGGUUUUACAAUUGAACAUCAAUUUCAUUGAACCAAAAAUAGUAAUUGAGCACUAAUUUCAGAAUGCCACUCCCCACCACACAAAUUCAAAGCUAAAGUCCAACAAACCAAGUAAUGUGGCAAAAAUUUCUUACAAACACUGAUACCAAAUGAAGUAAAAAUUAUGAUCAGUAGAACUAUAGAAAUGAAGUAAACACAAACAUGAUUAGUAUAUCUAAAAAUUAUGAAGCUGGCUUCUAUGGCAAUGACCCACUUCAAAUGGUCUCAUCAAAGAAAGACUCAAAAGGUGAAAAUGAGAUACACCCAACUAAUGAACAAAUACUUGCUUCUUCUUUUUCCCUCUAAUUAUUGUUGCAAUAGUAGAAACAUAAGACUACACAAGUCUCAUGCACAUGAAAUUUGGGUGUGGUAUCAAAACAACUUAUAAAUCCCACAGCUUUUGGGAAUUAUAAUACCAUAACAUGCUUCAGAACUAGCCAAAGAUAUAUUAUUAGAUUCUUGUAUUGUUGCAAAGCACCUAUUUAAAAUUAAAGAUUUGAGUGACUGUUCCAUAGUUAUAAUUAAGUUACAUUUUCUCAAACAGCUUAUAUGCAAAAUCAUCAAACACAUGAACACGUUUAAAUAGGGAAAAAUAAGGUAAUGCUCUCAAAAAGACCUCAUUCAAGGCAAAGCUUGGAUUCACAUAUUAAUAAUAGAAAUAAAAAUAAAAAACUUAACAAUUCAACCAGGCCAAAGACAUAAAAUUUUUAGAACAAAAAAAAGAACCAAAAUGAAAUUUUGAAACAAAAAGAACAAGAAAC